CUGUAUUUUUGAAGACUGGGUAACAUUUUCUUCAUGAUAAUGGUCAAGCUUGCUAUUCAUGAGAAAUGAAUCAGUACUACAGCCCUUCAUUUCAGCAUGAGAUGCCUCCCCCUGUUUGUUCUUGGAAAUAGAAAUCCUUGUUUCAAGGAGAGAAUCCAAUGAACUGAGCCGCUGAUCCCAAACAUGUGAACCAAUGAGGAGAGAACGUCUCAAGCAGUUGAGUUCCAGAAUGUCUACUGCCACUUGACCUGAUGGUGAAGCUCCUACACCAGAUGGUUGCAGCAAAUUCUAUUUACAAGCAAGGAAACUAAUCAAAAGCAGAUGGACACAUUACUCUAAAACAUGAAUUGUAAACAGAAAAAAAAAAAAAAGGACAAAUUUAUAUAAGCACUUUAGAGGGUUGAUAUUAACCAGGAGUCCUAUGGUAACAAAAAUACAUAGAUAUAUAAACCAAUCUCUAAUCUGAACUUACGUUGUAAUCAUUUCUUUCCCUAUUCAGCAGAUCUUUCAGGUCCAUGAUAUGGUUAUGCAACUCACUUUUAUCUGAAGAUUCAUUUCUGAAAGAUGUAGUUUUCUGUUCAAUUCUAUCGAGCACAUCAGAUAUCUUCACAUACACAGUUUCUAUUUUACUCAAAAGCUGAGAAGGAAAAAGGCAGAAGAUGGUUAUGAAAAUAGAUAUACUCAAAGAUAUGCCAAAAGUACUGAUUAGUUUUAUAGUUAGCAUCCAUCCAAAGUAAUCGGGGGCAGAGCAGUCUUAGAUCCAUAAUAGUACCUC
rnacentral:lncRNA from 1 species